UACGAAGGGGGCUAGCGUUGCUCGGAAUCACUGGGCGUAAAGCGCACGUAGGCGGAUUGUUAAGUCAGGGGUGAAAUCCUGGAGCUCAACUCCAGAACUGCCUUUGAUACUGGCGAUCUCGAGUCCGGGAGAGGUGAGUGGAACUGCGAGUGUAGAGGUGAAAUUCGUGGAUAUUCGCAAGAACACCAGUGGCGAAGGCGGCUACCUGGACCGGAACUGACGCUGAUGCGCGAAAGCGUGGGUAGCAAACAGG
rnacentral:rRNA from 1 species